rnacentral:lncRNA from 1 species
CAUGGUUGUAUGCUGACCCGAAAACAACAACAUGAAGGAUUAGAUCUUGCCGUGCCGCCGUUCUCUCUUCUUCCCAUCCAUCUCACAUACUUCUUACUCAUUUUUUAAGUUUCUGUUAUUAAAUUUCUACCCAUCUCAUCACCUCUUUAAUAUUUUGGAUUGAGUUGCUUCCAUUAAAUUUGAUGUUAUCAAACAAAUUCACACAACCGCUUCAGAUCUACGCUGCACUGCUCUUCAUUGUCUCCCUUUCUUCUAUUUUUCAGUUUUUUUUUUUUUAAAUCAAGAUUGAUGCAUUGACCCGGUCCGGUUCACCAAAUCGGCCGAGUCACCGAUUUUGAUCAGUUUUGGCCGAGUCACACCGGUUCUUACCGGGUUAAAUGCAUGUCCGAUCCAUCUUGUAGCUCGAACCGGCCACACCACCGGUUCACGGUCGGACCGGUUCGGUUUUUAAAACUAUGGUUUAAAGUAUUUGUUGUGGUGGUGUAAUUUGAGAUUGUGGAAGUUUCACUAUGAACCCUCAUGUUUGUUUAAAAGUCCCUCAAUUUACCAGAACUAUUUUGUAGUCGUAACACAUAAGAUAAUUUUCGAAACCUCAUUUGCUAACAAUCUAUGUGUUAGACACUGUGAGAGUUAACUUAAAAUCAGAAAUCUGGAGCAUCGUGCCACGAUGGAGAAGCAUCGCGCCACGAUGGUUGAAGCAAGAUUCCUGGGAAGAUACUGGAUUUUUCGUGCCACGAUGAAGCCUCAUUGCGCCACGAUGGUCGCGCUGAAGAUAAAAAUAAAACGUAUUUUCAGUUAGAUUUGUUUCAGUUUUAUAAGGGUUUACUUUCCACUAUAAAUACAGCCUUGUAUCAGAUGAUAAAAGUGUGUAGAAAAACAAGGUUUAAACCAACAAACAAACUAGGGUUUAUAGAGAAUCUCUUUUGGCAACAACUCUAGGGUUGGGAUUGUUUUGAUUCACCUUGAACAAAACACUAUUAGGAUUGAGUCUCUUGGUCACGAGAAGAGGCUGAGACUUGGGUAGAAUUAGGUUUGAAGAUUGAUUCUUGAAACUCAUUAUCUCUUUGUAAAGAAACUCAUUCAUUAUAGUGGAACGGAGAGCUGCUCUCUCCCCCAGACUAGGUCAUCAUUAGACCGAACUGGGUAAACAAAUAUCUUGUGUUCUCUCUCUCUCUCUCUCCUUUAACUCUUGCUGUUUUUUGUUUGGAUUAUUUGCUACCCGCUUGAUUUGAUUACUUGGUAUUAAUUUGCUCCACGCAUCAAGUUUUUAUUGGUGUGGUUUUUCUCAACGAAUUCACAACAAUUGGCGCCCACCGUGGGGCAAAGGUCAAAUCAAUAGCCAGGUAUCAUGGGUUUGAAGUGGGAUAUUGAAAAGUUCACCGGUAGUAACGACUUCGGGUUGUGGAAGGUGAAGAUGAGGGCAAUCUUAAUUCAACAAAAGUGCGUUGAAGCACUAAAGGGAGAAGCGCAGAUGUCUGCACAUCUGAUACCUGCUGAGAAGACGGAGAUGAAUGAUAAGGCAGUCAGCGCUAUCAUUCUGUGUCUUAGGGAUAAGGUGUUGAGAGAAGUAUCAAGGGAGGCUACUGCUGUGUCUAUGUGGAAUAAGCUUGAUUCAUUAUACAUGACCAAGUCUUUGGCACAUAGACAGUGCCUGAAACAACAACUCUACUUUUAUCGUAUGGUGGAGUCAAAACCUAUAAUGGAGCAACUGACGGAGUUCAAUAAGAUUAUUGAUGAUUUGACGAACAUAGAUGUUAAUCUGGAAGACGAGGAUAAAGCCUUACACCUAUUGUGUGCUUUACCUAGGUCCUUUGAGAAUUUCAAGGAUACUAUGCUUUAUGGCAAAGAGGGCACUAUCACUUUGGAGGAAGUUCAAGCAGCUUUGAGAACCAAAGAGUUAACCAAGUUCAAAGAGUUGAAGGUUGAUGAUAGUGGAGAAGGCUUGAAUAUCUCAAGGGGGAGAAGUCACAACAAAGGAAAAGGGAAAGGCAAGAAUUCCAGGUCAAAGUCUAGGUCGAAGGGUGAUGGCAAUAAAACACAGUACAAAUGUUUUAUUUGUCAUAAUCCAGGUCACUUCAAGAAGGAUUGUCCGGAGAGAAAGGACAAUGGAGGUGGAGAAUCAUCCGUUCAGAUUGCAAGCAAAGAUGAAGGUUAUGAGAGUGCUGGAGCACUAACUGUGACAAGUUGGGAACCUGAAAAGAGCUGGGUCUUGGACUCUGGGUGCUCUUAUCACAUUUGUCCAAGAAAGGAGUACUUUGAAACGUUAGAGCUGAAAGAAGGUGGAGUAGUUCGCCUUGGUAAUAAUAAGGCUUGUAAAAUUCAAGGUAUGAGCACUAUCUGUAACACCCCGUUUUCCCAACAUAAAAAUUUCGCAUAAAUAAUCAGAGUUUUUCAACAUAAACGGAAUGUCACAUUCUUUUCUUAAAAUCAUAAACUGAAUAAAUAACUAUUUAUCCUUUAAAAUUCAAAUACAAGAUCUUUAAUACUUCGCAGCGGAAUUUAUUUCAAUAACUAAAACAGUCUUUGGCACGAAGGCCUCUUCAUAAAUGUCGUAUAAAAAUCUAAUCUAAAAACAUAGUCAUAAAUCUUCAAAAACAAUACGUAAGGAAUAGAAAAGCAAUAACAAAGUUCCCAUCCCGUUACGUAUCAGAGCACCUAAGACACACGAGAAGGAAAGCUCACACGACAUCAACUAUUCUUGGUUACCUGUUAGUUGCCCAUGGUGGGCAAACAGAAGGGGUGAGAUUUCACAAACAAUAAUAUUAAGCAUAUAAUUCAUCAAUUACAUUUAACAACAUAAGCAUCAUCAAUCAUAUUUAACAACUCAUAGACAACAUCAUGUAAUCAUCAUAAUAUUCAUCAUAGAUAAUAAUAUAUCAUAAUUCACUUCUUUAAUAGUUCAUAUAAAGAAUCACAGCUUUAAACAAUUUCAUGAUUUAACAACUUAACAACUCGACAACCUGAUAACUUGACAACUUGACAACUUAACCUCUUGACUAUGCAACUUAAUCUUCUAAUCAUGCAUGUGGUAUCAAUCUUUGAGCGUAAAUAGGCUCCAGGGCAUCAAGCCCUCAACUUUAUUUGAGCGUAAAAAGGCUCCAAGGGCAUCAAGCCCUCAACUUAAUUGAGCAAAGGCUCCAGGGCAUCAAGCCCCCAACAAUGAAAUGCUAAUGCAUGGACUCGACCUCUUAACAUCUUAAAUCGACAACCUCUUAUAUAAUCCAAUAAUUUGGAACUUCAUCAUCUUAAUCAACUUAGACCGACUCAUGCAGCUUAGUUAAAUAACAACAGCAACACAACAGUAUACAAAAACAGCAUGACAUAAUAAUAUCAAAUGCAAGUCAACAACGUCUCAAUUAUUCACAUAUAAUUCAAGUAAUGCAUAUACAAUUAUAUCACAAUAUAACAACAUCAAAUAAUAAUCAACAUCUUAAAACAUCAUAUAUACAUAUAACACUUCAUCAAUCAUGGACAAUAUCGUAUUCACAAACAUAUACAUACAUAUACUAAUUCAUCAAUCAUAUUCAAUUAUUCACUGUGACCUACGUUCAGUAAUUUGACCAUAACUCAAAUUCUAUAAAUCCUUUUGAAGUCAAACCAACGGCAUUAGAAAGCUAACAUUUAUACCUACAACUUUCGUGUUUACACCUAAGACCAAUUCUGUACCAAUCAAUACCAGUUUUCAUUUCAAAUUCGGACAAAGUUGUGCUGAAAUUCAUAAAAAUUCACUGUGACCUACGUGCAGUAAUUUGACCUUAACUCAUAAACCAAAAUUCAUUUUCAAGUCAAACCGAUGCCACUGGAAAGCUAACACAAUUAGCUACAACUUUCAUGUUUACACCAAAGGCUAAUUCAAAACAGAAAUGUGUGAAAAAGACGCAAGAACAUGAAACAUGACAUGCUGUCAGAGAGCAACUCGGGAAAAAACACACUUUUCACCCCAAAAUUCCAAUUUUAACUUCCCUAUGCCCAAAUUUGAUCCCAAAAGUUUGUCUAAACAUUUAUAUACAUCAAAAGAGACUCAAAACCAUAUAAAACUUGACCCAAAACAUUAUUUUAGAAAAUCAUCAAAUAAUCACUUUUAACCCUAAUUCCCAAAUUCUCAAAAACUAAAACCUACAACAUGUUAAAUUCAAUUUUCAGAAUCAAUGACUUAAGAUUAUUGAAUGUUAGUCCCACCCUUACCUUAUAGAUGAAAAUCGCAGCACUCCUAGGUCUUCUCCCUCCUCUCGGCUUUUUCUCCCUUUUCUCCAAAAUUGAUCGUACGUUAUGUUUUUUCUAAAUUAGGUUUCUCCUAUUUAUAACCCUUUUUUCUAUUUUAUCUUAUUUCUCUUUCUCCCCCAAAACUCUCUAAAAUCUCAUAACAAACUCUCAACUCAAUCUUAUUUCUAUUUUCAAAUCUUAAUCUAUUAAAUAACAACAUAAGCCACUUAAUAAAUCACAUAAUCAAAUAAAUAUAUUUUAAACUCUUCUUAAUAAAUUUUAGACUCAAUUAAAUAAUUAAAUAAAUCAAAUAAUUCAAAGAGGGCGUUACACUAUCCGACUCAAAAUGUUUGAUGAUCGUGAUUUCCUUUUGAAGAAUGUGAGGUAUAUUCCUGAACUUAAGAGAAAUUUAAUAUCCAUAAGCAUGUUUGAUGGUCUAGGCUAUUGCACUAGAAUUGAACGUGGUGUGAUGAGAAUUUCUCAUGGUGCAUUGGUUAUGGCUAAGGGGUCUGAAAUACAAGGUCUAUAUAUUUUAGAAGGUUCUACCGUAAUAGCAAAUGCAUCGGUUGCUAGUGUUGACACUCGGAACAUAACUAAACUUUGACAUUUGAGGUUAGGUCAUGUCAGUGAGAGGGGUUUGGUGGAGCUAGCUAAACAAGGUUUGCUAGGGAAUGAAAAAUUGAACAAGCUAGAUUUCUGUGAUAACUGCACAUUAGGCAAACAACACAAGGUGAAGUUUGGAGUGGGGGUGCAUAAAUCUAGUAGGCCUUUUGAGUAUGUUCAUUCGGAUCUUUGGGGUCCAGCAUCGACGAAGACUCAUGGGGGAGGUUCAUAUUUCAUGUCUAUCAUUGAUGAUUAUUCUAGAAGAGUAUGGGUUUACAUUCUGAAGAAGAAAAGUGAUGCUUUUGAAAAAUUCAAGGAAUGGGAUACACUUGUAGAAAAUCAGAUUGGUACCAAACUGAAGUGUUGAGAACUGACAAUGGCUUGAAGUUUGUUUCAGAACAGUUUAAUGAGUUUUGCAGGAAGAAAGGUAUAAAGAGGCAUAGAACCGUGGCAUACACACCUCAACAGAAUGGUCUUGCUGAAAGAAUGAACAGGACUCUGUUGGAGCGCGUGAGGUGUAUGCUGUUAGGAGCUGGAUUGUCCAAGAGUUUCUGGGGAGAGGCUGUUAGUACUGCAACAUAUUUGAUUAACAGAUGUCCAUCAACAGGGAUAGAUCUCAAGACACCUAUGGAGGUUUGGAGUGGAAGACCGGAAGACUACUCUAACUUGAAAGUCUUCGGAGCUUUAGCGUUUGCCCAUGUCAGGCAAGACAAACUUGAUGCUAGAGCUGUGAAGUGUAUUUUCAUGGGUUAUCCUGAAGGUGUGAAAGGUUAUAGACUGUGGAAGAUGGAACCUGGAGAAUCAAAAUUUAUUAUAAGCAGGGAUGUUACUUUUGAUGAGACCCGCAUGGGGAUGAAGUGCAAAGACCUGGAUACAAGCUCAGAAACGGGGACAGAGAAACUUCAGUUUGAGGUGGAGCCUAUCACUGAUGAAAGGGAAGAGGAGGAUCAGACUCCAGUACCUGAUGAGGGUGAAGGCCAAGAGAUAGUGAAUCCUGACUAUCAGCUAGCAAGAGAUAGGGAGAGGAGACACAUUAAUCCACCUAAGAGAUACGGUUAUGCUGACCUUAUUUAUUAUGCUUUGAAUGUGGCUGAAGAAUUGCAAGACUCGGAACCAAAGAACUUCAGGGAGGCAUUAGAAAGCAAUGAAAACAAGGACUGGCUGAAGGCAAUGAAUGAGGAAAUGCUUUCAUUGGAGAAGAACCAGACUUGGAGACUUGUUUCAUUACCUGAGAAUCAAAGGGUAGUGGGAAGCAAGUGGGUGUUCAAGAAGAAAGAAGGUAUACCAGGGGUCGAAGCACCAAGGUAUAAGGCAAGACUUGUAGCGAAGGGUUUUACUCAGGUGGAAGGGAUUGAUUACAAUGAAAUCUUUUCACCGGUAGUAAAACAUUGUUCUAUAAGGGUACUUAUGGCGAUUGUUAACAUGUAUAAUCUUGAGUUAGAACAAAUGGAUGUGAAGACCGCAUUUCUACAUGGAGAGUUGGAAGAAACUAUCUAUAUGCAACAACCAUAACGUUUUGUAGAAGACAAUACAAAAGUGUGUUUGUUGAAGAAAUCUUUGUAUGGGUUGAAGCAAAGUCCAAAGCAGUGGUAUCGUCGGUUUGAUGAGUUCCUAGUAAAGGCUGGUUUUGUGAGAAGCAACUAUGAUAGUUGUGUUUACAUGAUGAGAAGGAAUGAGAAAGUCAUUCUCUAUCUUCUCCUUUAUGUAGAUGAUAUUCUUAUGGCAAGUUCUGACAUGCAAGAGAUUCAGAAGCUCAAGGAAAAAUUGAAUGAUGAAUUUGAGAUGAAGGAUCUUGGUAAUGCAAAGAAGAUACUUAGUAUGGAUAUCAUAAGGGACCAGAACAAAGGUGAGUUGUUCUUAUCUCAGCAGGGGUACUUGAGGAAAGUGGUGGAGCGGUUCAGAAUGAAAGAUUCUAAAGUCGUUAGCACUCCUCUUGGUCACCACACUAAGCUAUCUAUAAAGCAGUGUCCUCAAUCCGAUGAAGAGAAAAGCAAGAUGGAGGGUACUCCCUAUGCAAGUGGGGUUGGAAGCAUCAUGUAUGGUAUGGUUUGUAGUAGACCGGACUUAUCCUACGCAAUCAGUGUGAUAAGUCGGUUUAUGGCAAAUCCGGGUCAAGUGCACUGGCAAGCUUUGAAGUGGGUUCUGAGAUAUUUGAAUGGAUCUUUGAGAGGUGGUCUAAGGUAUACAAGGUCACAACCAGGUAGGGAUGCUUUGGAGGGAUAUGUAGAUGCGGACUAUGCAGGUAACGUAGACACUAGAAAAUCUUUGUCAGGUUUUGUGUUUACAUUGUUAGGUACAGCGGUAACUUGGAAGGCAAAUCAACAAUCAGUUGUAGCUCUUUCAACAACUCAAGCAAAGUACAUAGCCCUUGUUGAAGGGGUCAAGGAAGCCAUAUGGUUGAAAGGUAUGAUUGGAGAAAUGGGGAUUAGUUAAGGAUGUGUGAAGAUACAUUGUGAUAGCCAAAGUGCCAUUCAUUUGGCAAAUCAUCAGGUGUAUCAUGAAAGGACAAAGCACAUUGACAUUCGUUUGCACUUCGUCAGAGACAUGAUUGAGACUAAGGAGCUCAUGGUAGAGAAAGUGGCAUCGGAAGACAAUCCAGCAGACAUGUUCACCAAAUCAUUACCAAGAUCAAGAUUCAAGCAUUGCUUGGACUUGAUAAACUUCAUUGAAGCAUAGAUGAAGGAUUGGAGAGAGCAGCAAGGUGAUUGAUGGUUAAACUGGCAUCAUCACUGAUUUGAAGUCAAGGUGGAGAAUUGUGAGAGUUAACUUAAAAUCAGAAAUCUGGAGCAUCGUGCCACGAUGGAGAAGCAUCGCGCCACGAUGGUUGAAGCAAGAUUCCUGGGAAGACACUGGAUUUUUCGUGCCACGAUGAAGCCUCACCGCGCCACGAUGGUCGCGCUGAAGAUAAAAAUAAAACGUAUUUUCAGUUAGAUUUGUUUCAGUUUUAUAAGGGUUUACUUUCCACUAUAAAUACAGCCUUGUAUCAGAUGAUAAAAGUGUGUAGAAAAACAAGGUUUAGACCAACAAACAAACUAGGGUUUAUAGAGAAUCUCUCUUGGCAACAACUCUAGGGUUGGGAUUGUUUUGAUUCACCUUGAACAAAACACUAUUAGGAUUGAGUCUCUUGGUCACGGGAAGAGGCUGGGACUUGGGUAGAAUUAGGUUUGAAGACUGAUUCUUGAAACUCAUUAUCUCUUUGUAAAGAAACUCAUUCAUUAUAGUGGAACGGAGAGCUGCUCUCUCCCCCAGACUAGGUCA